rnacentral:misc_RNA from 1 species
GAUGAAGAACGCAGCGAAAUGCGAUAAGUAGUGUGAAUUGCAGAAUUUAGUGAAUCAUCGAAUCUUUGAACGCACAUUGCGCCCUAUAGUAUUCUGUAGGGCAUGCCUGUUCGAGCGUUAUUGAGACCUCAAGCUCUGCUUGGAAAUGGGCGCUUGUCUUGCCUUGCAGACUCGCCUUAAAACCAUUGGCAGCUGAUUUACAAUGUUUGGUGCACAGUACAUGAGCCCAAGUGUUGCAAUGAGUGGCCCAAAAGUAUACAAUAGAAGCUUAACCUCGGAUCAGGUGGGGAUACCCGCUGAACUUAAGCAUAUCAAUAAGCGGAGGA